GUGGGGAAUAUUGGACAAUGGGGGGAACCCUGAUCCAGCCAUGCCGCGUGUGUGAAGAAGGCCUUUUGGUUGUAAAGCACUUUAAGCGAGGAGGAGGCUACCGAGAUUAAUACUCUUGGAUAGUGGACGUUACUCGCAGAAUAAGCACCGGCUAACUCUGUGCCAGCAGCCGCGGUAAUACAGAGGGUGCAAGCGUUAAUCGGAUUUACUGGGCGUAAAGCGCGCGUAGGUGGCCAAUUAAGUCAAAUGUGAAAUCCCCGAGCUUAACUUGGGAAUUGCAUUCGAUACUGGUUGGCUAGAGUAUGGGAGAGGAUGGUAGAAUUACAGGUGUAGCGGUGAAAUGCGUAGAGAUCUGGAGGAAUACCGAUGGCGAAGGCAGCCAUAUGGCCUAAUACUGACACUGAGGUGCGAAAGCAUGGGGAGCAAACAGGAUUAGAAACCCGAGUAGUCC
rnacentral:rRNA from 1 species